AUUACAUUCCUAUGUGUACACGAGGCAUUCCUAAUUAAAAAUAUAGAUUUAUGACUAAAUAAUUACUGUCCAAAAUAGUGUCUUUUGACUCUGUCACAUCAAGAGAAUGACACAUGGUCUGAAAUGAGAAAACAUUAUGUCUGAGAUAAAGAGAUCUAAUGGUAUUUCAUUUAGGAAAGUUACCUAAUCAGAAUUUAUAUUCAUGCAAAAUAAUUGUCUCUCUGCCUGCAAGGCUCAUUAGAUCAUGGAAAAUCUUAAAAUGAAAUGACCACAAGUUAAGUUUCCUUACAGUAAAUAAACACAGGUUGAAUCAGCUUCAAGUUUAUUUGCUAGAAUUUUUCCUAGAAAGGUGGCGCUAGUUCUCCCUGAUUUGGCCAUCAAACAGGAAAAAACAUUGGUUUGCCAGUGGCAAAUCCAUGGGUUUAAAAAGAGGGGGCGGGUGGUUCUUGCAGAAAACGCUUAACCAAUAGGGUUCCAAUUUUAUAAUUGCAUAAAGACAUGAUUGGCUUUGCAAGAUCUCACAAAGAGAGGGCUGUGGCCCAUGUAGCCAACAAAGAACCCUGGAUCUGCUAGAGCCUGUGUUCAGCCACUUCCCACCCUUCACACCUUACAGGGGAAAACAGGGAGGGGUGGGAAGCAGCUGUAUUCAGGCUAGAUCUUCUAGGUAACAGCUACACUUUAGAUCAUCCUUGAUUACACUACUGAUGAUUUCUGGUACUUUUGCAUCUACAGGUAAACAGGUUACGCAGAACUCCAAACGAUCAUUUGGAUUGAUUGACAGAAUCAAUGAAGCUGUUGAAGAAAACUGUAGAUCAGUAAAAAAGCAAAAGACAGAUGAAGAUAAGGAGAAAGGCCAAGUGGAUGACUAUGAUGAAUGGAAGAGAAGAAUUCUAGAAGAGGCAGUUAAAGCAAAAGUUUGAGGUUACUAGAAGUAAUAUGAUCGUUACACAUGAUGAUGAGAGGGUCUGAUAAACCAAAUUCACUUGGGUGUAAUGUUUUUCCAUUUCCAACCAAAUCAUUACUUAGACUAUCAUUUCUUUGUUAAGUGCCAGUUGUGCAUGAGAAGAAUAUGGAUGAUACAACUUGAACAAAGAAUUUUAUUCUCAAGGGAAUGACAUGUGUAUUGAGGUUUUUCAUGUGAUGUCAUACUGUAGUGAAAUUUGUUUGAUCUUAAAAAGGAGUUGAUAUUUCAAAGUUGUCAUACGGAUAUAAGUAAAACUGCAAAGUUUGAUGAAGAGUGCACGUAAACUAUAUAUGACUUUUUUUAACAUGAAGUUUUACAAAGAAAGGUAUGUUUCCAGGCAGAAUUAGUCUGACAACAUACAUUUCUUCGUAAAAGUUGUAAGGUAGGUGGAAAAAUUCACACAUUCUCUGGAUUAUCAACAAUCUUCACAAUUAUUAUCAACAAACUUUAUGAUUUUACUAACAUCAUCUAUAUGAACAAUUUCACUGUACAGUAAACUCUCUUUUCUGAUUAAAUGAAAAAAUGAAAAUUUUGGAUAGAGUAGCGUCAGAGUGAAAAACCUUGAUAUCCGAAAUAUGGGAAAACAUUAGGCCCAAAAUGAAUUUGAUCCAUUGACUACCACUAGUGUAGAAUGACACAAGUGGAUCCAAAUCCUAGAUUUUCAUAAUCAGCGGUACUAUGGAACUAAAAUAUUGCACACUUGUUAAUUGACAUAUUUGUGAUGUCCAAAUUACCAAGGUGGAUUACAUUUCAAUUCACAAACAAGCACAACAAUUGAUGAGUUGCAAGCAUUCCCAAGAGAGUCGAAAGACAAAAUCCUAGUGGCCAUAUUGGUGUGAAUUGAGAAAUCUUUUGUUAAAUGGCACCAAUAUGGCCAUGGGGGUGUAACAACAUGUUCAAAAGUAAUGACUUUUGAAUGAAGGGGUGCAGCUCAUCAAAAUCACUUGUGAAGAAAAAAUUAUUAUCCCCUUGACCCUUGUACAGUGGUUUGGCAACCCUUUAUACUUAUCCAAAAAUUUGAUCCCCCCCCCCCCCCCACCCCCAUCCUGCCAAAUAAUUCCUAAGAAAUUGUACAUUACCCUUCCCACUUCAAAAAAAUCUCGACUCCCCAUUUACCAAAGCCUCCUUUUUGCAUUCCACUAAUAAUCAACCAGAAUAUAUUGUACAAAUAAUAUAUAAAGUCAAGAGAGAUAUAACUGUUAACUGUUCUAAAUAUAUCCCAAUGAUUCCCCCCCUUUCUCUGUGCAAUAACAACUGAUUGAACCCAAUUAGUUUUAAUAGUCUUACAUUCACAGUUUUAGUGACACACCUUUUGGUGAAUUUAAACUAUUCAGAAUAUUUCAUUUAAAUACAUUUUUAAUUUCUUUUAUUUUUUUAUUUCUUUCAUUUGACAAAGAUUAAUAAAUGUUAUUACUGAA